AGAAAUUCGAUUCCGUAAGUAGCGGCGAGCGAACGCGGAUUAGCCCAAACCAAUAAAGUUUUCUUUAUUGGGGUUGCGGACAUAUCAUAACGAAGAGGUAUCGUAAUUGAAGAGGUUUGGAAAGACCCACCACAGAAGGUAAUAGUCCUGUAUGUUAAACGAGAAGACUUCAGAUAUGAUCCAGAGUACCACGGGACACGUGAAACCCUGUGGGAAGCAGGAGGGACCACCCUCCAAGGCUAAAUACUACCUAGUGACCGAUAGCGUAUAGUACCGUGAGGGAAAGGUGAAAAGAACCCCGGGAGGGGAGUGAAAUAGAACCUGAAACCCUGCACUUACAAGCUGUGGAAGCACAUUUCUUGUGUGACCGCGUACUUUUUGUAGAACGGGCCAACGAGUUACGUUAAGUAGCAAGGUUAAGCACUUAAGGUGUGGAGCCGUAGCGAAAGCGAGUUUUAACUGAGCGUUCAGUUACUUGACGUAGACCCGAAACCGGGCGACCUACCCAUGAGCAGGAUGAAGCGAAAGUAAAAUUUCGUGGAGGUCCGAACCCACGAG
rnacentral:rRNA from 1 species